ACGGGGUGCAGCAGGCGCGAAAACUUUACACUGCACGACAGUGCGAUAAGGGAACUCCGAGUGCGAGGGCAUAUCGUCCUCGCUUUUCUGUACCGUAGGGAGGUACAAGAAUAAGGGCUGGGCAAGACCGGUGCCAGCCGCCGCGGUAACACCGGCAGCCCAAGUGUUGGCCGAUAUUAUUGGGCCUAAAGCGUCCGUAGCCAGCUGAACAGGUCCGUCGGGAAAUCUGCUCGCUCAACGAGCAGGCGUCCGGCGGAAACCAGUCAGCUUGGGAUCGGAAGACCCGAGGGGUACGUCUGGGGUAGGAGUGAAAUCCUGUAAUCCUGGACGGACCACCGGUGGCGAAAGCGCCUCGGGAAGACGAAUCCGACGGUGAGGGACGAAAGCUAGGGUCACGAACCGGAUUAGAUACCCGGGUAGUCCUAGCCGUAAACGAUGCUCACUAGGUGUGGCACUGGCUACGAGCCAGUGCUGUGCCGUAGGGAAGCCGUGAAGUGAGCCGCCUGGGAAGUACGUCCGCAAGGAUGAAACUUAAAGGAAUUGGCGGGGGAGCAC
rnacentral:rRNA from 1 species